UACGUAGGGGGCAAGCGUUGUCCGGAAUCAUUGGGCGUAAAGAGCGCGUAGGCGGUCCGGUAAGUCCGCUGUGAAAGUCAAGGGCUCAACCCUUGAAUGCCGGUGGAUACUGUCGGGCUAGAGUCCGGAAGAGGCGAGUGGAAUUCCUGGUGUAGCGGUGAAAUGCGCAGAUAUCAGGAGGAACACCGAUGGCGAAGGCAGCUCGCUGGGACGGUACUGACGCUGAGGCGCGAAAGCGUGGGGAGCGAACAGG
rnacentral:rRNA from 1 species